GUAACAAGGUAGCCGUAGGGGAAAUUCGCGGCUGGAUCACCUCCUUAAUCGACGACGGCAGCUGCUCCAUGAGCUCCCACACGAAUUGCUUGAUUCAUUGAAGAAGACGAUUGGGUCUGUAGCUCAGUUGGUUAGAGCGCACCCCUGAUAAGGGUGAGGUCGGCAGUUCGAAUCUGCCCAGACCCACCAAUUUCAUGGUGUACCCUGUAGCGAUACGGGGCCAUAGCUCAGCUGGGAGAGCGCCUGCCUUGCACGCAGGAGGUCAGCGGUUCGAUCCCGCUUGGCUCCACCAUUACAGAUUGGCACCAUCGUUUAAAGCUUAGAAAUGAGCAUUCCGCCCCAAGGUGAUGAAUGUUGAUUUCUAGUCUUUGGAUUAGAUCGUUCUUUAAAAAUUUGGGUAUGUGAUAGAAAGAUAGACUGGACGUUACUUUCACUGGUAACGGCUCAGGCUAAGGUAAAAUUUGUGAGUUUAAUCGCGAAUUUUCGGCGAAUGUCGUCUUCACAGUAUAACCAGAUUGCUUGGGGUUAUA
rnacentral:tRNA from 1 species